rnacentral:rRNA from 1 species
GACGAACGCUGGCGGCGUGCUUAACACAUGCAAGUCGAACGGAAAGGCCCUGCGUUUGUGGGGUGCUCGAGUGGCGAACGGGUGAGUACCACGUGAGUAACCUGCCCUUGACUUUGGGAUAACUUCAGGGAACUGGGGCUAAUACAGGACAGGAGCUACUGCUGCAUGGUGGGGGUUGGAAAGUUUCGGCGGUUGGGGAUGGACUCGCGCCUUAUCAGCUUGCUGGUGGGGUAGUGGCUUACCAAGGCUUUGACGGGUAGCCGGCCUGAGAGGGUGACCGGCCACAUUGGGACUGGGAUACGGCCCAGACUCCUACGGGAGGCAGCAGUGGGGAAUAUUGCACAAUGGGCGGAAGCCUGAUGCAGCAACGCCGCGUGCGGGAUGACGGCCUUCGGGUUGUUAACCGCUGUCGCCUGUGACGAAGCGUGAGUGACGGUAAUGGGUAAAGAAGCACCGGCUAACUACGUG